GACGUAGGGCGCGAGCGUUGUCCGGAUUUAUUGGGCGUAAAGAGCUCGUAGGCGGCUUGUUGCGUCGACUGUGAAAACCCGCGGCUUAACUGCGGGCUUGCAGUUGAUACGGGCAGGCUAGAGUUCGGUAGGGGAGACUGGAAUUCCUGGUGUAGCGGUGAAAUGCGCAGAUAUCAGGAGGAACACCGGUGGCGAAGGCGGGUCUCUGGGACGGUACUGACGCUGAGACGCGAAAGCGUGGGGAGCGAACAGG
rnacentral:rRNA from 1 species